AUCUCAAGGGUGAUCAUUCGAAAGUCAAAAUGAAGCCAACAGCAUUUGUGAUAUUAUUGCUUGUUUUGGUGGCAGUAAAUACUGUUACCUCCCAAUCUACAGUUUCGGAGGUCAGAGAAAACCAAGGAAAAAAAGUUAAAGUUGUCGACGCAAUUGUGAAGGUCCAAGUAGAAAGAGAUCCUAAUGCAUCAGUGGAUCCGGUACCCUACUAGUGAAAGUGUCUUCAAUGCAGGACAAUGAAUUCAAACUGGAAAAAAUUGAAAUAAAAUGAUGAAUUUUUAA